UAUCCGGAGGGGUUGUACAUAAGACUGCAUUCUUCCUGCAAGCCCUCUAGGAAAACCUCUGGAUAAUGUCCGAGUGAGUCACGAGGAUACAGCAGGAGAUUAUCGGGAGGAUUCACCACCAGCAAGUUGGUGCAUUGAUGAUGUUUCUAACAAAUGAUAGAUGCACAACUGGAAAAAUAAGGCUGUAAAAGAGGUGUCAAACACGUAGAAGAGGAAGAUGUCAAUUGAGGACGUGCACCGUGGGGGAUGAAAAAUACAAGAUUCUGUUGUUUGUUAAUGUGGACCUGUGCGACGUCUCUUUCAGACAAAUUGGAUCAUUCUUCACCAGGAAAACUUUCAAUCACAAGAGCUUGACAGG